rnacentral:rRNA from 1 species
AACGAACGCUGGCGGCAGGCUUAACACAUGCAAGUCGAACGCACCUUUCGGGGUGAGUGGCAGACGGGUGAGUAACGCGUGGGAAUCUACCCUUCUCUACGGGAUAGCUCCGGGAAACUGGAAUUAAUACCGUAUACGUUCUGAUGGAGAAAUAUUUAUCGGGGAAGGAUGAGCCCGCGUUGGAUUAGCUAGUUGGUGGGGUAAAGGCCUAUCAAGGCGACGAUACAUAGCUGGUCUAAGAGGAAGAGCAGCCACAUUGGGACUGAGACACGGCCCAAACUCCUACGGGAGGCAGCAGUGGGGGAUAUUGGACUAUGGGCGCAAGCCUGAUCCAGCCAUGCCGCGUGAGUGAUGAAGGCCCUAGAGUUGUAAAGCUCUUUCAGUGGGGACGAUAAUGACGGUACCCACAGAAGAAGCCCCGGCUAACUUCGUG